rfam:Streptococcus sp. FF10 genome assembly, contig: CONTIG000004
ACUAUUGCGAGGUAGCGGGGAGAGGAAGGGAUAGCGAAAUCGUGGCUCUACGAACAGAAACGUGAUAUUAAGGCGUAUAUAGCGGAUGAGGGGGCUGAAAACUCUAAAGUCCAAAUAGGUAGUCGUAACCUAUAUGCGUAAAUCACGAGAGUAAACGGUCAUGCGAAAAAAGCCAUCAUC